UAGGGAAUCUUCGGCAAUGGACGGAAGUCUGACCGAGCAACGCCGCGUGAGUGAAGAAGGUUUUCGGAUCGUAAAGCUCUGUUGUAAGAGAAGAACGAGUGUGAGAGUGGAAAGUUCACACUGUGACGGUAUCUUACCAGAAAGGGACGGCUAACUACGUGCCAGCAGCCGCGGUAAUACGUAGGUCCCGAGCGUUGUCCGGAUUUAUUGGGCGUAAAGCGAGCGCAGGCGGUUAGAUAAGUCUGAAGUUAAAGGCUGUGGCUUAACCAUAGUAGGCUUUGGAAACUGUUUAACUUGAGUGCAAGAGGGGAGAGUGGAAUUCCAUGUGUAGCGGUGAAAUGCGUAGAUAUAUGGAGGAACACCGGUGGCGAAAGCGGCUCUCUGGCUUGUAACUGACGCUGAGCUCGAAAGCGUGGGGAGCAAACAGGAUUAGAUACCCUGGUAGUCCACGCUGUAACGAUGAGUGCUAGGUGUUAGACCCUUUCCGGGGUUUAGUGCCGUAGCUAACGCAUUAAGCCUCCCCUGGGGAGUACGACCGGCGGUGG
rnacentral:rRNA from 1 species